rnacentral:rRNA from 1 species
CCUACGGGUGGCAGCAGUGGGGGAUAUUGGACAAUGGGGGGAACCCUGAUCCAGCGACGCCGCGUGAGUGAAGAAGGAUUUCGGUAUGUAAAGCUCUGUCAGCAGGGAAGAAAGAAAUGACGGUACCUGACCAAGAAGCCCCGGCUAACUACGUGCCAGCAGCCGCGGGAAUACGUAGGGGGCAAGCGUUAUACGGAAUUACUGGGUGGAAAGGGAGCGUAGACGGGGAAGUAAGUCUGGAGUGAAAGGCCGGGGCCCCACCCCGGGCCUGCUCUGGAAACUAUUGAACUUGAGUGCAGGAGAGGUAAGCGGAAUUCCUUGUGUAGCGGUGAAAUGCGUAGAUAUUAGGAGGAACACCAGUGGCGAAGGCGGCUUACUGGACUGUCCCUGACGUUGAGGCUCGAAAGCGUGGGGAGCAAACAGGAUUAGAUACCCCAGUAGUC